GACGAACGCUGGCGGCGUGCUUAACACAUGCAAGUCGAACGGAAAGGCCCUGCUUUUGUGGGGUGCUCGAGUGGCGAACGGGUGAGUAACACGUGAGUAACCUGCCCUUGACUUUGGGAUAACUUCAGGAAACUGGGGCUAAUACCGGAUAGGAGCUCCUGCUGCAUGGUGGGGGUUGGAAAGUUUCGGCGGUUGGGGAUGGACUCGCGGCUUAUCAGCUUGUUGGUGGGGUAGUGGCUUACCAAGGCUUUGAAGGGUAGCCGGCCUGAGAGGGUGACCGGCCACAUUGGGACUGGGAUACGGCCCAGACUCCUACGGGAGGCAGCAGUGGGGAAUAUUGCACAAUGGGCGGAAGCCUGAUGCAGCAACGCCGCGUGCGGGAUGACGGCCUUCGGGUUGUAAACCGCUUUCGCCUGUGACGAAGCGUGAGUGACGGUAAUGGGUAAAGAAGCACCGGCUAACUACGUG
rnacentral:rRNA from 1 species